AGAGAGAGAGAGAGAGAGAGAGAGAGAGAGAAAAGUAGUAUUCCAGUUGGAGCCUCAGCAGAAAUGAGAGGACUCAGAGCAUAUAUGUAUUAAUACUUUUAAAAAAAAUUAUUUUUGUUUCGAAUGGUUGGGUAAUACAAGGUAUGCUUUCGAAACACCUAAGGGAAGGGAUAGGUUCUGUUUUGUUCUGAAAAUUUCACAAUGGGGGAGCUUCACAAUUGGGAGGCUUGUUAGUCUAGGACAGUGCUGUCCAGUAGAAACGUAAAAACAUAACGCGAGCCAUGAGCCACAACAUAAUUAAAAAAAAAAAUUUGAGAUAACCAACAUCUUAUUUAACCCACUAUAUGCAGUAUAUUAUUAGUUCAUUGUGAAAUCUAUAGAAACUACUGAAGUAUUUAUUUUUGUACCAUGUCUUUGAAGUCGGUAUGUAUUUUACACCUAUCAGUUCAGUUCAGUCGCUCAGUCUUGUCCGACUCUUUUCGACCCCAUGGGCUGCAGCACGCCAGGCCUCCCUGUCCAUCACCAACUCCCGGAGUUUAUUCAAACUCAUGUCCAUUGAGUCGGUGAUGCCAUCCAACCGCCUCAUCCUCUGUCUUCCCCUGCUCCUCCUGCCCUCAAUCUUUUCCAGCAUCAGGGUCUUUUCAAAGGAGUCAGAUUUUCCCAUCAGGUGGCCAAAGUAUUGGAAUUUCAGCCUUAACAUCAGUCCUUCCAGUGAACACCCAGGACUGAUCUCCUUUAGGAUGAACUGGUUGGAUCUCCUUGCAGUCCAAGAGACUCUCAAGAGUCUUCUCCAACACCACAGUUCAAAAGCAUCAAUUCUUCCGUGCUCAACUUUCUUUACAGUCCAACUCUCACAUCCAUACAUGACUACUGGAAAAACCAUAGCCUUGACUAGACAGACCUUUGUUCACAAAGUAAUGUCUCUGCUUUUUAAUAUGCUGUCUAGGUUGGUCACAGCUUUUCUUCCAAGGAACACGCAUCUUUUAAUUUCAUGGCUGCAGUCACCAUCUGCAGUGAUUUUGGAGCCCACCAAAAAUAACAUCAGCCACUGUUUCAACUGUUUGCCCAUCUAUUUGCCAUGAAGUGAUGGGACCAGAUGCCAUGAUCUUAGUUUUCUGAAUGACACCUGUCAGCUCAUCUAAAUUCAGACUGGUCAGAUUUCGGGAGCUUCAUAGUCCCACAUGUCUAGUGGCUACCUUACAUCAUGGGUGUAGAUCUGGAGGCUGGCAGCACUGGCAUCACCUGGGAGCUUAUUAAAAAAACACAUUCUUGGCUCUUAUCUAUGUCUCCAGCAGGUUUUACCCUUUAACAUGAACCCCACAUGACUGGUAUGUACAUAAAAGUUUGAGAAGCACUUCCUUCUAGUGAACCAACCUGUGGGCCAAGCGGACUACCCUGAUUACAGUAUUCUUGCCUGGAGAAUUCCAUGUGGACAGAGGAGCCUGGCGGACUACAGUCCAUGGGGUCACAGAGUCGGACAAAAUUUAGCGACUGAACAACAACAAGAAGGAUCAUUGGGGAGUCAUCUUAGAAUUCUGCCUGUCGCAGGUUCCAACUGCCAAGUCCCCCUUCUCAAGUCUUACUGAACUAUGUUUUGAGCGUCACAGUAACCCUUAGAAGUGCUUUUGCUCAUCUUCCGUUCAGUCGUGUCCAACUCUUUGCGACCCCAUGAACCCCAUGACCCGCAGGACACCAGGCCUCCCUGUCCAUCACCAACUCCUGGAGGCCACCCAAACCCAUGUCCAUUGAGUCAGUGAUGCCAUCCAGCCAUCUCAUCCUCUGUCAUCCUCUUCUCCUCCUGCUCUCAAUCUUUCCCAGCAUCAGGGUCUUUGCCAGUGAGUCAGCUCUUCGAAUCAGGUGGCCAUAGUGUUGGAGUUUCAGCUUCAACAUCAGUCUUCCAAUGAACACCCAGGACUGACCUCCUUUAGGAUGGUCUGGUUGGAUCUCCUUGCAGUCCAAGGGACUCUCAAGAGUCUUCUCCAACACAAGGUCCAGAGAAAUAUUCCUCAAAGGAGUCUUUCCAGUGAAGAAAAACUGACUGAUGUUAUCAGCAAGGCUGGACCUUUCAUCAUACACAAAUGAGUUACAGGACAAAAUAUCAAUCAACUUCAGUCAAAUCUCCAAGUGAUUUCUUUUGCACAGAUGCAGUCAUUAAUGUGCUUUAAGGAAAAUAUAAUGGUGCAAUCUGUAUUUGCUAUUGCAGAUUUUUAAGUGGUUCAAUACUAGAACAAAACUAACAGUCUGGGUAAUCAUGUUUUUCUUCCCUCAAAUAUCUAUAUAUUACCAAUAAUGAAAAAAUCCACAUUAAAUUUAAAUACUGAAAUAAUUCAGAAGUGAAAUAAUGUAACCCUCAUUAUACCCUCACAACUAUGAUGAAUUUAUAUCUAUCAUUUUACCCUAAUUUUUCUAUUUAGGUAAAAUCUGAUAAAAGUAAACUGAGUUUCUUUCACGGUUAGUAUUUGCUUGCUACUGCUACUGCUAAGUCACUUCAGUUGUGUCCGACUCUGUGCGACCCCAUCUUCUGGGAUUCUCCAGGCUAGAACACUGGAGUGGGUUGCCACUUCCCCAAUGCAUAAAAGUGAAAAGUGAAAGUGAAGUCGCUCAGUCACGUCUGACUCUUCGAGACCCCAUGGACUGCAGCCUACCAGGCUCCUCCGUCCAUGGGAUUUUCCAGGCAAGACUACUGGAGUGGGGUGCCAUUGCCUUCUCCGAGUAUUUGCUUAAAGUAUUCUAAACAUAGUGUAUCUUCAACUUUGAUUUAUGGUAUCAGUUCAAAUAAAGUAAAAUCUCACAUUUUAAUGUACUAAUUCACCAUUUCAAACUAUGAUUUAUAUUUAAGAUUUGAAAUAAAUGGUGCCUAUUAUAAAAAUUUUCUUCGAGGUGUGAGUCAGUUUUCUUCCCUUUUAAUGCCCUUUCCCUUUUCCUUUUGGCACUGAUAAUUCAUCCUUCAAUGUCUCACUGUUUUCUCUGAAAAGCUUCCCUUUCUCUUCUGAUAAAAAGUUAAGUAUUAAAUGGGAUUUUUACCAGACUACAUUUAAGACAUGCCACUCGCCCUGAUUUUGUUACUGUCAGGCUUUGUGACAAAUAUUUCUUUCUCCCCCUGGCUACAAUACUAUUAACUUGUGACAAUACCGUUAACUUACGAUAUUCAAAUGAUGGGUUGUUGUGAUUCCUCUUUUGUUCUUUCAGGUUAUUAGUUUUUGUUUAGGCUAACAGAUACUUGAGGAGGGUAAACAGAACUGAAGCGUGUUUAUGGCUUAAUGGUAAGGUACACCUUAGCCUACAGUAUAGAAAACUCAAUUUAUUACACAGACAAAUUAACAGAAAAGAGCACAGGGCAACAUGUCAUGCAUCACAUAAGACUGUA